rnacentral:rRNA from 1 species
GACGAACGCUGGCGGUGUGCUUAACACAUGCAAGUCGAACGGAAAGGCCCUGCUUUCGUGGGGUGCUCGAGUGGCGAACGGGUGAGUAACACGUGAGUAACCUGCCCUUGAUUUUGGGAUAACUUCAGGUAACUGGGGUUAAUACCGGAUCGGAGACCCCGUUGCAUGGUGGGGGUUGGAAAGUCUCGGCGGUCGGGGAUGGACGCGCGGCUUAUCAGCUUGUUGGUGGGGGAGUGGCUUACCAAGGCUUUGACGGGUAGCCGGCCUGAGAGGGUGACCGGCCACAUUGGGACUGAGGUACGGCCCAGACUCCUACGGGAGACAGCGGUGGGGAAUAUUGCACAGUGGGCGGAAGCCGGAUGCAGCAGCGCCGCGGGCGGGAUGACGGCCUUCGGGUUGUAAACCGCUUUCGCCUGUGACGAAGCGUGAGUGACGGUAAUGGGUAAAGAAGCACCGGCUAACUACGUG